UUGGGGGAUUUUAAUGAAAUUUUAUACCCAUCAGAAAAAGAGGGUGGUAUGGCUAGACCACUUGGUAUGAUGAGAGAAUUCUGUGAAUGUCUAAUGGAUUGCCGGCUAGAGGACCUAGGCUAUAUGGGUGACCUGUUCACUUGGAGGAGAGGCGAAAUACGUGAAUGUCUUGAUCGAGUGGUCUAUAAUAUAGCAUGGACAAACAAAUUCCCGCGAGCAGCAGUGAUCAAUGAAGAACAUGUUCAUUCUGAUCAUCGCCCAAUCAUACCGGAUACGGAUUACUUACAUGAAAAAAUCUUUAAACAACCAGAGAGGCGUGUUAAACAGUUUGAGGCGAGGUGGUUGAAGGAAGAGACGGUCACUGAAAUUUUUAAGGCAUCGUGGGAGAAAGGAAAACUUGCAGGUAUUGGACCCUCACUUGUUGAUCAUACAAGAGCAGUGCAUGCCGAUCUGCAUAACUGGGACCGGGAAACUCUAAAGGGACCAAAGGUGAGAAUUAGGAAAUUAAAAAAGAAUUGGAGAGAAUAA
rnacentral:rRNA from 1 species